rnacentral:rRNA from 2 species
GACGGAAGGAGUGCUUUUAUUAGAUCAAAACCAAUCGGUGGCGGGUUCGCUCGUCAUCGUACAACUUGGUGACUCUGAAUAACUUUACGCUGAUCGCACGGUCUCGCACCGGCGACGCAUCUUUCAAAUGUCUGCCUUAUCAACUUUCGAUGGUAGGUUCUGCGCCUACCAUGGUUGUAACGGGUAACGGGGAAUCAGGGUUCGAUUCCGGAGAGGGAGCCUGAGAAACGGCUACCACAUCCAAGGAAGGCAGCAGGCGCGCAAAUUACCCACUCCCGGCACGGGGAGGUAGUGACGAAAAAUAACGAUACGGGACUCAUCCGAGGCCCCGUAAUCGGAAUGAGUACACUCUAAACCCUUUAACGAGUAUCAAUUGGAGGGCAAGUCUGGUGCCAGCAGCCGCGGUAAUUCCAGCUCCAAUAGCGUAUAUUAAAGUUGUUGCGGUUAAAAAGCUCGUAGUCGAAUCUGUGUCCCACGCCGCCGGUUCAUCGUCCGCGGUGUCAACUGGCGUGUCGCGGGACGUCCUGCCGGUGGGCUUAGCCCGCGAGGGCGGCCCAACUCAAUCCUGCCGCGGUGCUCUUCACUGAGUGUCGAGGUGGGCCGGCACGUUUACUUUGAACAAAUUAGAGUGCUUAAAGCAGGCUAAAACUUCGCCUGAAUACUGUGUGCAUGGAAUAAUGGAAUAGGACCUCGGUUCUAUUUUGUUGGUUUUCGGAACCCCGAGGUAAUGAUUAAUAGGAACGGAUGGGGGCAUUCGUAUUGCGACGCUAGAGGUGAAAUUCUUGGAUCGUCGCAAGACGGACAGAAGCGAAAGCAUUUGCCAAAAACGCUUUCAUUGAUCAAGAACGAAAGUUAGAGGUUCGAAGGCGAUCAGAUACCGCCCUAGUUCUAACCAUAAACGAUGCCAGCUAGCGAUCCGUCGACGUUCCUCCGAUGACUCGACGGGCAGCUUCCGGGAAACCAAAGCUUUUGGGUUCCGGGGGAAGUAUGGUUGCAAAGCUGAAACUUAAAGGAAUUGACGGAAGGGCACCACCAGGAGUGGAGCCUGCGGCUUAAUUUGACUCAACACGGGAAACCUCACCAGGCCCGGACACCGGAAGGAUUGACAGAUUGAGAGCUUUUUCUUGAUUCGGUGGGUGGUGGUGCAUGGCCGUUCUUAGUUGGUGGAGCGAUUUGUCUGGUUAAUUCCGAUAACGAACGAGACUCUAGCCUGCUAACUAGGCGUAUUUUGACAUCGCAAAGGCCCGCCGGUAUCGGGGUUUACUCCUUUAUCGCGCGCGGUUUUUACUGUCGGCGUACAAACAAUUCUUCUUAGAGGGACAGGCGGCUUCUAGCCGCACGAGAUUGAGCAAUAACAGGUCUGUGAUGCCCUUAGAUGUUCUGGGCCGCACGCGCGCUACACUGAAGGAAUCAGCGUGUCCUCCCUGGCCGAGCGGCCCGG